GAAUGACAAAGCAUGAUAAAUUGCUAGUUCUGAAAGAUUGAAUAUUUAUUUAAGCUAAUAAAUAAGGGUUCAGAAAAUUAUCCUGGCAUGGGGGAUUAAGUUUUCAUGGGGGAAAAGAAGCCAAAUUAUUCUUGCAGAGAUGUAUUCAGGGAUGGAUUUACUGGGGGGGGGGACCCCCUAGCCCUGGCCAGAAGGGGUGCAGGGAGAGUGCUAUUUUUCAUGAUAAAGCACAGCGGCCCAGACGUG